rnacentral:lncRNA from 1 species
UUUCAACAAGUAUUUAUGGAGUAUCUACUACAUCCUUGGCAAUGUUUUAGGUAUGUUCUGUACAUUAUUUCAUUUGUCCUCAGAGAAACUCUAUGUGGUUUGCAUUAAUACCUGUACUUUCUAGGUGAGGAUGCUGAAGCUCAGGGAUGCUGAAUGACUUGUCCAAGGCAUCUAGUAAAUAAUUCUGAGUUGAACAGAAGGUCUGGAAAAUUAGGAAACUGGCUUUUACCAUGGGAUGCAGAUGAAUCAGACCUGCUAAUGUGUGAAUCGUCACAGCUUUGAAGCAUCUCUGGAUAACAUGUGACUUCUUGGAUGAACUAUAAUUGAAACUCACAGGCCCACCAAAUGGUCAGUCAUCUCUUCUGGUUUCUGGACUCUGACUUCCCUGAGGACAAGAACCACUGACAUUUAACUUGUCUCUGUCACACCCCUGCCUAGACAGGGCCUGGCAUGUAAUGGGCAGUCAAGUGACGUCUGUAGAAUGAACUAAUGAAUGAAUGAAUGAAUGGGCCCACAAUCAGAGCGUCCCAAACCUGGCUGUUUUGGGAAGCCACACUUGCUUGCCAUUUGGGUUCCUCCCCAAAGCAAGAAUAUUAACAAUGAGAGACAAAUCCAUAAGCCCCUAUGCUCAGGGCUUUCUCAGCUCAUUGCCAGUAUGUUUGAAAGAAGUCGAGUAGGCCAGCCUGGGGAAUAUGCCGCAUUUCUCUCUAAUAUGGUUUGGCUCUGUGUCCCCACUCAAAUCUCAUCUCGAAUUAUAAUUCCCACCUGUUGAGGGAGGGAAGUGACUGGAUCAUGGGGGCGGUUUCCCCUGUGCUGUUCUCGUGAUAAUGAAGGAGCUCUCACGAGAUCUCAUGGUUUUAUAAGUGUCCGGCAUUUCACCUGCUUGUAUUACUCGCUCCUGCUGCCUUGUGAAGAAAGUGUCUUGCUUCCCCUUCGCCUUCUACCAUGAUUGUAAGUAUCCUGAGGACUCCCCAGCCAUGUGGAACUGUGAGUCAGUUAAACCUUUUUGCCUUAUACAUUGCCUGGUCUCGGGCAGUUCUUUAUAGCAGUGUGAGAAUGGACUAAUACACCCUCUUAUCUGUGUGGAUUUUUUUUUGCCAGGUAGGCUCCAGAGCUGUCUUUCCCCACCCCUCUGUCACCUAUCUGGUGUCACUGCGUGACCCAAAUGGCUGGCUGAAUGACAGUCUAUCUUGUUAAAUCAUCUUGACUCAUUUUUUUUCUUGAAAAAUUUUGCUUGCCUUAAACAUGUGCUAACUGGAUUGGACUUGCAAGGGCCCUGUACUAGAUAAAGCUAAUGCUGUUACUAUCUUAUUUAUAUUGCCUUCUCAAGGGUGGUUAUUUAGCUUAGACUUUCUCCGAGGAAGGAAUAGCUAAAUUGCUUCAAAGGAACAUUCUUUUUCCCAAAUAGGAAUUCCCUGGUCAUAGCUUAUCUCAGCAAGAACCAUAUACUUGCGACGACAUGAGCCAGAUUCUCCUACUGUGUGAUUUUACUGGAAUUCCCCACAAUUCUGUAGUAACUUGAUGCUGACCUUAAGUUUCUUUCAGCAAUGAUACUGUAUAGUCUCCUUUUGAGUUUGGACACUGGCAAGAGAAACUUAAGCUGGCUGAACAACACAGGAUGAAAGUUUGUAAGUGGG